UACACUGAAAUUUCCCCCUCUUGUGCACACUUUUUCCAGGAGAGCUAUGUCCAGAAAUCAUCCCUGCUUGUUUUCUGUGAGGCCACCACAUCUCAUCAGCUAACAAUUAGAACUCCGAUAGGAACAUGUUAGAGUAGUUAAAAGGGUGAAGCUAUGAGUUGUUUCCUAAUUACAAACUGGUAUCCUGAGAACGCAGAACCCUUAUUAAUAAACGAGUACAUUGCGAGAGCACAUUUUCCAUUUCUUAAAUCAGGAAGAUUUAUGACACUAUGUGGUCAUGCCUUGUAACUGAUGUUUCCAAUGAAGACUAAUCUAAUUUCCCAGUGCAAAUCACACUGAUGUGACCUAGAGACAUUUCUGUUAUGUCACAACAGCAUUUAAUAUGAGCUGAAAUUAGCCAGAAUUACACCAUGUUUCUGGCAAAUAGUAUGCUCCAAAAAUAUCACCAUAGUAACAUGUGUAUUCUAUCAACAAUUCCCCUUUCAUAUUUUAAGGUUGCAUUCUAUCAAUAAUUUUGAAGUGCAUGAAACAAUUGUUUUGGAGCACCAAUCAGUUUCUAUAAGGUAUCUGUAACUCAAUUUAAAUGGCAUAUAGGAUUUUUAAAAAUAUUUCCCUUUACUUAAGGAAACAUUUACUUGCUCAUUAGGCCAGAUCAACUUUGCAGAUGUAGUGAGAGCUUCCAGAGAUGUUUUAUAUGACCAAGUGCUGAAAUUCAUUUUCUUUUUACUGUUUCUUUCAUCACCUUCUAAGAAAUUAUAUGUUCAUUCCAAGGAGUUAAGUCUCAACUGACCAUGGAAAGAAUAUGGCAGAUAUAACAGCACGUAAUUUCCAAGGCAAGGUCAUAAAAGACAUUGUAGCUUCUGCCUUGUCCCUUCCUCUUGGAUCUCUUGCUAUGGAGUAGCAGCCCCAUGAAGACACCCGUGGUGGAAGAUCACUGAGGACUCCUGCCAACAGCCACCCAGUGACUGAGGCCUCUUGCAGAAAUCCAUAUGAGUGGGCCAGCUGACAAGAAAAUCUUCCAGCUCUAGUCAAGCCUUCAGGUGAGCAAUGAGACUUAUGGAAACAAAUCUGCCUAAUGCCAUUUAGCUAGUAAACACAAAGAGAAGUCCAGAACCUAGCCCUCUUUGACCUCUCUGUCCACACUCUCAGCUACUAGAGGAUGGAGACUGGCAGGAGAAAAGCAGAAGGUUCUGGAGUCCAGAACACCAGCUCUUAGUGCCAGGAACUGCCAGGUAAGAAUUCUGACUACACUGAGGCCACCAUGCUCUGAGGAAGUCAAGCCAGAUGGAAAGAUCACAGCAGGAGAACUGGUCAGCAGUCAUACUCUUGAACUCAUCCCAACCCAGACUCCAGACAUGUGAAUUGACAAGUCUUCAGAUGAUUCCAGCACAAAGCCAUUGAGUCACCUCCAGCCAUUGAGUGUCCCCAGCCGAGACACCAGUCACCAUCAAGCAGAGCCAGUAUGCCUGUUAUGCCUGUCCAAAUUCUUGACCCACUAAAUUCUAUGAAAUUAAUAAAUGGUUGUUUAAGUUACUAAAUUUUAAACUUAAUUUGUUAUGCAGUAAUAGGAAUUGUUCCUGUCUGUGAGCAAGUCCUCAUGGACAAUAAACUCAGAUCUGUCUGUGGAAUCUGGGAGAAAAAGAGACUGUUAUCCUUCCCCAUGGUACAGCCCCAGAAAGAUAAAAGUCUCAGAAUAAAACACUGUACAUGCAUAGCUCAUUUUAUUGGGCUUUGUUUAUUGCAUCUCACAAACGUUACGCUUUUUACAGACUGAAGGUUUGUGGCAACCCUGUGUCUAUUGAGCAAGUCUACCAGCACUAUUUUUCCAACAGUAUGUGCUCGCUUUGUGUCUCUGUCUCACAUUUUGGUAAUUCUCACAAUAUUUUA
rnacentral:lncRNA from 1 species